rnacentral:rRNA from 1 species
GAGUAACACGUGGGUAACCUGCCUGUAAGACUGGGAUAACUCCGGGAAACCGGAGCUAAUACCGGAUAGUUCCUUGAACCGCAUGGUUCAAGGAUGAAAGACGGUUUCGGCUGUCACUUACAGAUGGACCCGCGGCGCAUUAGCUAGUUGGUGAGGUAACGGCUCACCAAGGCGACGAUGCGUAGCCGACCUGAGAGGGUGAUCGGCCACACUGGGACUGAGACACGGCCCAGACUCCUACGGGAGGCAGCAGUAGGGAAUCUUCCGCAAUGGACGAAAGUCUGACGGAGCAACGCCGCGUGAGUGAUGAAGGUUUUCGGAUCGUAAAGCUCUGUUGUUAGGGAAGAACAAGUGCAAGAGUAACUGCUUGCACCUUGACGGUACCUAACCAGAAAGCCACGGCUAACUACGUGCCAGCAGCCGCGGUAAUACGUAGGUGGCAAGCGUUGUCCGGAAUUAUUGGGCGUAAAGGGCUCGCAGGCGGUUUCUUAAGUCUGAUGUGAAAGCCCCCGGCUCAACCGGGGAGGGUCAUUGGAAACUGGGAAACUUGAGUGCAGAAGAGGAGAGUGGAAUUCCACGUGUAGCGGUGAAAUGCGUAGAGAUGUGGAGGAACACCAGUGGCGAAGGCGACUCUCUGGUCUGUAACUGACGCUGAGGAGCGAAAGCGUGGGGAGCGAACAGGAUUAGAUACCCUGGUAGUCCACGCCGUAAACGAUGAGUGCUAAGUGUUAGGGGGUUUCCGCCCCUUAGUGCUGCAGCUAACGCAUUAAGCACUCCGCCUGGGGAGUACGGUCGCAAGACUGAAACUCAAAGGAAUUGACGGGGGCCCGCACAAGCGGUGGAGCAUGUGGUUUAAUUCGAAGCAACGCGAAGAACCUUACCAGGUCUUGACAUCCUCUGACAACCCUAGAGAUAGGGCUUUCCCUUCGGGGACAGAGUGACAGGUGGUGCAUGGUUGUCGUCAGCUCGUGUCGUGAGAUGUUGGUUAAGUCCCGCAACGAGCGCAACCCUUGAUCUUAGUGCAGCAUUUYAGUU